rnacentral:rRNA from 1 species
UACAGAGGUCCCAAGCGUUGUUCGGAUUCAUUGGGCGUAAAGGGUGCGUAGGUGGGUUGGUAAGUCAGUGGUGAAAUCUCCAGGCUUAACUUGGAAACUGCCAUUGAUACUAUCAAUCUUGAAUACCGUGGAGGUCAGCGGAAUAUGUCAUGUAGCGGUGAAAUGCUUAGAUAUGACAUAGAACACCAAUUGCGAAGGCAGCUGGCUACACGAAUAUUGACACUGAUGCACGAAAGCGUGGGGAUCAAACAGG